CUAUGAAUUUUUAUUGUUAAUAAUUAAAAUUUAAGUUAUUAAUAAUUUAAUUGGGGUGAUAAAAAAAGAAUAAGUAUCUUUUUAGUUAUAAAAUAAGUUCCGUUUUUAGCGAUUAAAUGAAAUAAAUACUCUAGGGAUAACAGCGUAAUAAUUUUGGAUAGUUCAUAUAGAUAAAAUAGUUUGCGACCUCGAUGUUGGAUUAGGAUUCUUUUUUGGUGAAGAAGUUAAAGAAAGAAGUUUGUUCAACUUUUAAAUUCCUACAUGAUCUGAGUUCAGACCGGCGUAAGCCAGGUUGGUUUCUAUCUUAUAUA
rnacentral:ncRNA from 1 species